rnacentral:rRNA from 1 species
UACAGAGACUGCAAGCGUUAUUCGGAUUCACUGGGCGUAAAGGGUGCGCAGGCGGCCAAGUGUGUGAGGCGUGAAAGCCCGGGGCUUAACCCCGGAAUUGCACCUCAAACUACAUGGCUAGAGCAUUGGAGAGGGUAGCAGAAUUCAUGGUGUAGCAGUGAAAUGCGUAGAUAUCAUGAGGAAUACCAGAGGCGAAGGCGGCUAUCUGGACAAUUGCUGACGCUCAGGCACGAAAGCGUGGGGAGCAAAAGGG